GAAAACACUGACAGGGAUUCUGUAGUCUGAGUCAUCACAAUUUCCCCAUUGGAGUGUGGACUCAUGGGAGGCCAUCAUGGUUUCUUCAGAUGUGGCUCUGUAGAUCACUGUAGCUUAAGUCAUCCAGCACCCACUUGAUUUGAUUCUUACCCUGGAUCCAGAGCACUAACAACCAGAUGAGCUGAGCCUGUGAGAUCAUCUUGAUUUGUCUGAGUGGCCCGAUGCUGAUCAACAAAUGUUGACAGUGGCUGUGUCUCCUGGAAACACUGACAGGGAUUCUGUUGAAUCAGCACGUUCUGCCCACUGAAAUCUGGAUAUAGAAAAAAAAAGAGGCAGAAAUAG